rnacentral:rRNA from 1 species
AUGGACAGGGCCCCACCGCGCGGCGCUCCUCGCGACGCCGUCGGCCAGCGGUGGCUCGCCGUCUUCGCCUUCCAGGCCGCUCUCUGGGCCGCCGCCUCCGUACUCCACCUCGCGGUCUCCCCGAGCCGCCGCCACCCUAACCUCGGGGUGCCCCCGCCCUUCCUCCUCGGGCUGCACCCGCCCCUCUCCUCCGCCGGCACGGGGCUCCUCGCGCUCGCCUUCCUCAUCUCCGCCUCGCCCCACCCCGGCCCACCGCCCGUGCCGAAGCUCGCCCUCGCGGCCUCCCUCUUCGCCUCGGCCGGUGCGCUCUGCGUGGCCGCCGCCGCGUCUCUGGUCCCCAAGGACGCCGGAUGGGCUGCCGUCGCCGGGCUGGGAGUCCGCGGCGCUGUGUUGGGCGCGGUGUUCGCCGCUCACUACUUUGGGCGGGGGAGGUGGCUGCUCCAGUUCCCCGUCGUGCAGAGACCUAUGUUCUAUGGAUUAAAGAUGGGGCUUCUACCAUCUAUUAAAAGGGCUCUAAAGAUGUCGCUUCAGGUCUUCUUGCUUUCACUUGUCCUGAUUCUUUUUCUUCCUCGGCAAUUCAGAAUGGGAGGAUCCAUUGGAAGUCAAAUUAUCACCCAAAUCGCUAUUUUUAUAGUGACCACAGGUGUUUCCUUCUGUUGGGAAAUAAGCCAUCAUUUUGUCCAGGUUGUGCACACAAGAAGAUGCAGUUUUACUCCACCUCAGAGCUCUGCUGCUGCAGAGACUAAUCCGACUGAUUAUAUCCUCGAGACUUUGGAACUAAGUAAUCCACGGUCGCUGAUUCAAUAUCUUGCAUUCCAAGAUUUGUGUGCAGUAUCUGAAUGUAACAUCGAACCUUGGCGUCGAGCUGCCUUAUUUGAGGAAUCUGGUGAAACUUACAAAAGAAUUGUGACAGCCUGUUUGAAGCCACUUGAGGAGUUCACUUCAAAAAUUGCUGAAGCACUUGAAGGGUUUACUAGUGAAAGGCCAGAACUAUUGUUACAACAGUCUAAGCUCUAUGGUGCAUUUAGUGAUUCACAGAUAUGCUCAUGGUGUGCUCGGACAUUGGCAACAUUAACUGCACGCUCACGACAAGAGGAUCGGUAUGGAGUUGCUCAACUCACUGGCUGCAAUGCUGCUGUGAUGUCUACUUUGCUGUCUGCUCUAGUUGCCGUUGAAGCAUGUUUGGGGAAGAAAACUAACCCACAACCUGCGCACUCACUGGGUCCAGCAAGCAUUAGGUGGGGUAACUUCUCCACUGCAAGAAAAGGCAAUGUAACUGCCAUCGCAAGCACACAAAGAGGUGGUCUGCACACCAAAGCUCAUUCAAUGGCUGAUGUUUUCCGGACUUCAAUUUAUCAGAUAGUCUCAGCCUUCUUGGAUGACAUGCGGGCAAAUGCAAAAGCUUCGAGUUUGGAGAAGAAUUGGAUCAGUGAAGGAAGAAAACCUAUAUAUGGUUCACGUGCUGUGUUGGUUCAGAAGUUGAGCUUGUUUAUUGAAUACCGAGCUGUCUGA